rnacentral:lncRNA from 1 species
AACAACAUUUGUACUAAAGCCUUUCUUCUUGCCUUGACCUGCAACGUUAGUUAGUUGCCUAUCAUUAUUUAAUAGUCGACUAAAUUUCCUUACUACCAAGGUCAUCAAUUCUUUAUCAUCCAUGUCUAUUUCUGAGUUGUUCUUGCUUGUAGCCUUCAGAGCAAUGGACUUCUUUUCUUCAAUCUCCUUUUCAUCCUUUAAUCUACCAAGUUCCAAUUCAUGUUCACGUAACUUGCCAAACAAGGUAGCCAUGUUCAUCGUUGUGAGAUCUUUGGAUUAAGAGAUUGUUGUGACUUUUGGUUGCCAGUUUCUGUUCAGACUUUUCAGAAUCUUGAUAUUGAUUUCUUCUUUGUCAUAGACUUUCCCGAGAGCCAUGAGAUGAUUUACAAUGUGAGUGAAUUGUUUCUACACAUCAUAGAUGUUUUCACCAGCAUUCAUUCUGAACAAUUCAUACUCUUGUAUUAGUGAAUUCUUUCUUGCUCUCUUGACUUCAUUUGUGUCUUCAUGAGUUACCUCUAAGACAUCCCAUAUUUCCUUUGCGGAUUUGCAUUGAGAUAUCCUUAAAAAUUCAUCAACAGUUAGUGCAGAGGCAAUAAUAUUUCUAGCUUUAAUAUCAUACUGAGCUUUUCUAUUUUCAUUAGCAGUCCACUCAAUAAAAGGUUUGAAAACAGUUUCCUUAUAAAUAGUUUUUGUAGGCAUAAAAGGUCAUUUAAUGUGGCAUCCAAAAUUCCUUUGUCUUGCGAUUCAAGAAAGAUUUGCAUUCUAAUUUUCCAAAAUGGAUAAUUUUCACCAGCAAACAGAGGUGGUCUGUGUAUUGAAGCACCUUCACCAAAAGUUUGAAAACAGGAAGCCAUCCCCAGGUCUAUAGUCGAAUCAGUGAAAAACAGAGUCGACUAGUUUUUCAAAUAACUUAUGAAAACCAGCUCUGAUACCAAUUGUUGGAAAACAGGUAGGCUUCUUUGUACACCAAGAGGGUGGGUGUGAAUUGGUGAUGUUUCAAAAAUAAGUUCUUUUCGCAAUCUUGAAAAGAAAGUAUAAAACUUUUUUAACUUUCUUGAAAUGCAAGCAAUCAGAAAAUGUAUGCAGCGGAAAAUAGGUAGUUACUGCGUGAAAUAUAGAGUCGGCUAGAAUGUAAAAGAUAAGGGAUAGAGAAAAGCAAACACGGGUUUUUAUACUAGUUCGGCCAACAAUACCUACAUCCAGUGUCCUUCUAACCCAAGAAGCAAAUGCACUAUAAUGGUUGCAGUUUUUACAACAAGGAAUUUGUAGAAGACCUCUACGUCCAAAAUAUAAAUCUCCUCUCUAAUCAAAAACCAAAAUAUAGCUGCAGAACAAAACCAGAAUUGCAACAAUAAUCCCUUCUUUUGCAAUCUGCAACACCACUUUGAACAAUCCUUUAAGUGAACUAUCCCCCUGUAUUGAAACAGGUAUAAUUCCAGUAGUCUUCACAGGAUGCCAAGCCUUGAUCACAAUUCAACAGUCUUCACAGCAUGCCAAGCCUUCAACACGAUCACACAGAAGCACCUUUCUUGUGCAGGUAAUGAUCAGCAGGUGUAAGCGCACAAAGUCUCCUCAACGAAUCUCGUUCAAGAAAGAUCACCACCGUCUUCUUGGAUAAUUCUUGGAGCUAAGAGAAAUCUAAAACAGAAAUGAAAUUGUCAGUUCAUCAAAAGUCUCUGAACAAACUUGUGUUUAGUCUAUUUAUAGAUUUCUGUUAUACAGUCAGAUUCUCAGUCGAAUGUGCUACUAAAUCAAUCGACUAUAUUAUGAUAGUUAAGACAGUUCAGUCAACACAGUAGCUCACAGUCAACAAAUAACAGAACACAUUUAAUAUAGUUGACCAAGUCAUCAAUGCUCAACUAACUUUUAAAAAUAUAGCCGUUAGAGUGCAAGAGCAUAACAAAAUUCCAAAUCAGAUAAUAGAUACAGUCGAAUAUGUAAAACACAUAGUCGAUAUCCACCAUG